ACGGUAGAGGGGGCAACCCCUUGAGAGUGGCGAACGGGUGAGUAAUGUAUCGGAACGUGCCCAGUCGUGGGGGAUAACGUAGUGAAAAUUACGCUAAUACCGCAUACGAUCUAUGGAUGAAAGCGGGGGAUCGCAAGACCUCGCGCGAUUGGAGCGGCCGAUAUCAGAUUAGGUAGUUGGUGGGGUAAAGGCUCACCAAGCCAACGAUCUGUAGCUGGUCUGAGAGGACGACCAGCCACACUGGAACUGAGACACGGUCCAGACUCCUACGGGAGGCAGCAGUGGGGAAUUUUGGACAAUGGACGCAAGUCUGAUCCAGCCAUUCCGCGUGCAGGACGAAGGCCUUCGGGUUGUAAACUGCUUUUGUACGGAACGAAAAAGCUCUUAUUAAUACUAGGAGUCCAUGACGGUACCGUAAGAAUAAGCACCGGCUAACUACGUGCCAGCAGCCGCGGUAAUACGUAGGGUGCAAGCGUUAAUCGGAAUUACUGGGCGUAAAGCGUGCGCAGGCGGUUAUAUAAGACAGAUGUGAAACCCCCGAGCUUAACUUGGGAACUGCAUUUGUGACUGUAUAGCUAGAGUACGGCAGAGGGGGAUGGAAUUCCGCGUGUAGCAGUGAAAUGCGUAGAUAUGCGGAGGAACACCGAUGGCGAAGGCAAUCCCCUGGGCCUGUACUGACGCUCAUGCACGAAAGCGUGGGGAGCAAACAGGAUUAGAUACCCUGGUAGUCCACGCCCUAAACGAUGUCAACUGGGUGUUGGGUCUUCACUGACUCAGUAACGAAGCUAACGCGUGAAGUUGACCGCCUGGGGAGUACGGCCGC
rnacentral:rRNA from 1 species